rnacentral:rRNA from 1 species
UGGAAUAAUAAAAUAGGACGGCAUGGUUCUAUUUUGUUGGUUUCUAGGAUCACCGUAAUGAUUAAUAGGGAUAGUUGGGGGCAUUAGUAUUCAAUUGUCAGAGGUGAAAUUCUUGGAUUUAUUGAAGACUAACUUCUGCGAAAGCAUUUGCCAAGGAUGUUUUCAUUAAUCAAGAACGAAAGUUAGGGGAUCGAAGACGAUCAGAUACCGUCGUAGUCUUAACCAUAAACUAUGCCGACUAGGAAUCGGGCGACGUUAUUUUCAUGACUCGCUCGGCGCCUUAUG